UACGUAGGGGGCAAGCGUUGUCCGGAAUUACUGGGCAUAAAGGGUGCGUAGGCGGUUUGUUAAGUCUGUGGUGAAAGUUUUCGGCCCAACCGGAAAAUUGCCGCGGAUACUGGCGAACUUGAGUGCGUGAGGGAUGGGGGGAACGAGCAGUGUAGCGGUGAAAUGCGUAGAUAUCAGGAGGAACACCGAUGGCGAAGGCAGGUCUCUGGGCCACUACUGACGCUGAGAAGCGAAAGCGUGGGGAGCGAACAGG
rnacentral:rRNA from 1 species